GCGCCGGUGGUGUAAGGCGAACAUCGCUGCCCGGAAAGCAGAAGAUGCGGGUUCGAGUCCCGCAUGGCGCG
rnacentral:tRNA from 1 species